AACGCAUAUUGCGCUCGAGGCUUCGGCCAAGAGCAUGUCUGCCUCAGCGUCGGGUUAAUAUCACCAUCUAACUACUAUGUGGUUAGCUAUUGGUGGAUCUGGCUGUUCCAGCGAAAGGCGGUGGCUAAUCGAUUCAUCGAAUAGCUUGCCAGUAGUCCUGCUGGAUCAGCUGAAGUUCAGAGGCUAACUAAGGACCCGUAUAUAUGGGCCGCAACUGGGUAGGUGAUAUAACCCCUUUUGUGGGCUAUUCACACACGCUUAGUUGUUGGUCUGGGGACUUAUUCGUUCGGCCCUCAACCAGGAAACUUAACCCAAUACUUAUUAUCUCGACCUGAGCUCAGGCAAGAACACCCGCUGAACUUAA
rnacentral:misc_RNA from 1 species